rnacentral:rRNA from 1 species
GACGAACGCUGGCGGCGUGCUUAACACAUGCAAGUCGAACGAAGAGCGACGGAGGCUUGCUUCUAUCAAUCUUAGUGGCGAACGGGUGAGUAACGCGUAAUCAACCUGCCCUUCAGAGGGGGACAACAGUUGGAAACGACUGCUAAUACCGCAUACGAUCUAACCUCGGCAUCGAGGAUAGAUGAAAGGUGGCCUCUACAUGUGAGCUAGCACUGAAGGAGGGGAUUGCGUCUGAUUAGCUAGUUGGAGGGGUAACGGCCCACCAAGGCGAUGAUCAGUAGCCGGUCUGAGAGGAUGAACGGCCACAUUGGGACUGAGACACGGCCCAGCCUCCUACGGGAGGCAGCAGUGGGGAAUCUUCCGCAAUAGACGAAAGUCUGACGGAGCAACGCCGCGUGAGUGAUGACGGCCUUCGGGUUGUAAAGCUCUGUUAAUCGGGACGAAAGGCCUUCUUGCGAAUAGUGAGAAGGAUUGACGGUACCGGAAUAGAAAGCCACGGCUAACUACGUG